GGACCAAGGAGUCUAGCAUAAUGCGCGAGGCUAUAGGCACUAUGCGAAAAUCCAUCACAGGCGAAAUGAAAGCGAAGAUCAUUAUACUUAUGCGCGUUGGGGAGGAUGACCGAGUCACACGUUGUGUUCUUAGCAGUCCCGGGGCGUCGUUUUGUCUCAUUGCGAGUUGACAUGCACCUAGAGCGUUAUUAUGCUGGUACCC
rnacentral:rRNA from 1 species